rnacentral:rRNA from 1 species
AGUGAACGCUGGCGGUAGGCCUAACACAUGCAAGUCGAACGGCAGCACAGUAAGAGCUUGCUCUUACGGGUGGCGAGUGGCGGACGGGUGAGGAAUACAUCGGAAUCUACUUUUUCGUGGGGGAUAACGUAGGGAAACUUACGCUAAUACCGCAUACGACCUACGGGUGAAAGCAGGGGAUCUUCGGACCUUGCGCGAUUGAAUGAGCCGAUGUCGGAUUAGCUAGUUGGCGGGGUAAAGGCCCACCAAGGCGACGAUCCGUAGCUGGUCUGAGAGGAUGAUAAGCCACACUGGAACUGAGACACGGGCCAGACUCCGACGGGAGGCAGCAGUGGGGAAUAUUGGACAAUGGGCGCAAGCCUGAUCCAGCCAUACCGCGUGGGUGAAGAAGGCCUUCGGGUUGUAAAGCCCUUUUGUGGGGAAAGAAAAGCAGCAGGUUAAUACCCCGCUGUUCUGACGGUACCAAAAGAAUAAGCACCGGCUAACUUCGU